UACGUAGGGGCAAGCGGUUGUCCGGAAUCAUUGGGCGUAAAGCGUGCGCAGGCGGUUCGUUAAGUUCGUCGGUGAAAGCCCCGGGCUCAACCUGGGAAUGGCGAUGGAAACUGGCGGGCUGGAGUGCGGCAGAGGGGGGUGGAAUUCCGACGUGUAGCAGGUGAAAUGCGUAGGAUAAUGUGGAGGAACACCGGAUGGACGAAGGCAGCCCCCUGGGUCGAA
rnacentral:rRNA from 1 species